rnacentral:lncRNA from 1 species
AUAGAAUUCUUUUUGUAUUUUAUAGAAAUAGCUUAACAUUAUUUUAUAAAGCAUGUGUAGCUAAUUCAUUAAACUCAGUGACAUACAUUUGGUAUAUGUAAGGGAUAAUUUACUUCCGCUUAUAUAUAUAUAUAUUAUCUCUUGCACUCGUAUACUAUUCUGUCAUGGACACUGAUGCCUUACCGGGUACAGGGACAUCAUGGAAAGUGCAUUUGCCUUUAUACCUACAUAUUCAAG